CUACGGGCGGCUCCAGUGGGGAAUAUUGGACAAUGGGGGAAACCCUGAUCCAGCAAUGCCGCGUGUGUGAAGAAGGCCUGCGGGUUGUAAAGCACUUUCGGUUGGGAGGACUGCUUCUAGCACUAAUAUUGUUGGAAGUUGACGUUACCUUCAGAAGAAGCACCGGCUAGCUCCGUGCCAGCAGCCGCGGUAAUACGGAGGGUGCAAGCGUUAAUCGGAAUUACUGGGCGUAAAGCGCGCGUAGGCGGCUAGAUCAGUCGGGUGUGAAAGCCCCGGGCUUAACCUGGGAACUGCAUCCGAUACUGUCUAGCUUGAGUACAGGAGAGGAGAGUGGAAUUCCACAUGUAGCGGUGAAAUGCGUAGAUAUGUGGAGGAACACCAAUGGCGAAGGCAGCUCUCUGGCCUGAUACUGAUGCCGAGGUGCGAAAGCGUGGGGAGCAAACAGGAUUAGAUACCCGCGUAGUC
rnacentral:rRNA from 1 species